rnacentral:rRNA from 1 species
AGCGGCGGACGGGUGAGUAAUGCCUGGGAAUAUGCCCUGAUGUGGGGGAUAACUAUUGGAAACGAUAGCUAAUACCGCAUAAUCUCUUCGGAGCAAAGAGGGGGACCUUCGGGCCUCUCGCGUCAGGAUUAGCCCAGGUGGGAUUAGCUAGUUGGUGAGGUAACGGCUCACCAAGGCAACGAUCCCUAGCUGGUUUGAGAGGAUGAUCAGCCACACUGGAACUGAGACACGGUCCAGACUCCUACGGGAGGCAGCAGUGGGGAAUAUUGCACAAUGGGGGAAACCCUGAUGCAGCCAUGCCGCGUGUAUGAAGAAGGCCUUCGGGUUGUAAAGUACUUUCAGUCGUGAGGAAGGCGAUGUAGUUAAUAGCUGCAUCGUUUGACGUUAGCGACAGAAGAAGCACCGGCUAACUCCGUGCCAGCAGCCGCGGUAAUACGGAGGGUGCGAGCGU